UACGUAGGGGGCAAGCGUUGUCCGGAAUCAUUGGGCGUAAAGAGCGUGUAGGCGGCCCGGUAAGUCCGCUGUGAAAGUCCAGGGCUCAACCCUGGGAUGCCGGUGGAUACUGUCGGGCUCGAGUCCGGAAGAGGAGUGUGGAAUUCCUGGUGUAGCGGUGGAAUGCGCAGAUAUCAGGAGGAACACCAAUAGCGAAGGCAGCUCGCUGGGACGGUAGCUGACGCUAAGGCGCGAAAGCGUGGGGAGCGAACAGG
rnacentral:rRNA from 1 species